rnacentral:rRNA from 1 species
GCCCUCGAUCCAGACAGGCAAUAUCAGCAGAAGCUAUAACACUCCACCGAAGUGAAGCCACAUUCAACUGCCAUUAUCUUGCCAUCCGAAUCGAUGCUGGCCCAGUGAAAUACGAGUGCACAACUCAAGAAGAGAAGAUAAUCGUAAAACACCAAGUCUGAUCUAAUGCCCUUCCCUUUCAACAAUUUCACGUACUUUUCACUCUCUUUUCAAAGUUCUUUUCAUCUUUCCAUCACUGUACUUGUUCGCUAUCGGUCUCUGCCCAAUAUUUAGCUUUAGAUGGAAUUUACCACCCACUUAGAGCUGCAUUCCCAAACAACUCGACUCUUCGAUAGCACCUUACAUAGGAAUGGGCAUCUCAUCAGACGGGAUUCUCACCCUCUAUGACGUCCUGUUCCAAGAACAUAGACAAGAGCCAAMCCCAAGGUUACCAUCUUCAAAUUACAACUCGAACACCGAAGGUGCUAGAUUUCAAAUUUGAGCUUUUGCCGCUUCACUCGCCGUUACUGAGGCAAUCCC